rnacentral:rRNA from 1 species
AAGCUCGUAGUUGAAUUUCGGGCCUGGCUGGGCGGUCCGCUUAACGGCGUGUACUGUCUGGCUGGGUCUUACCUCUUGGUGAGCCGGCGUGCCCUUUAUUGGUGUGCGUCGGGGAACCAGGACUUUUACCUUGAGAAAAUUAGAGUGUUCAAAGCAGGCCUAUGCCCGAAUACAUUAGCAUGGAAUAAUAAAAUAGGACGUGCGGUUCUAUUUUGUUGGUUUCUAGAGUCGCCGUAAUGAUUAAUAGGGAUAGUUGGG